CUAGCUGUUCGCUUUUAAAUUGGCACUUUGAGUUGAGGGCGGAGCGUGAAUUAAGUAAAGGCUUAUUUGUUCCUGAAUGUUUCAUUUUUAUUAACCAAAACCAACAUUUAUCAUACUUGCAACUAAGACCUCGAAUGUUUGGAAAAGACGAUGUCGACAAAGCGGAGUUUUUUAAUGAAAUAAAAGACAUUUGCAAGUGCUGGCUUACACCCGGGGAAUUGUCAGUAAAUAAGGCGCCAGGAGGUUGUGCAAGCACUAGAAAUGACGAGCAUGGAGAGGUCAAUCUUGGUAGUCAGGUCUGGUAGAGCAAUCUCAAAUUAUCAUAUAGAAAUGUUAUGAUUUCGGUAUUGAUCAAAAGGUGCUG
rnacentral:misc_RNA from 1 species